rnacentral:rRNA from 1 species
CAGUCGCCACGGUAAUACGUAGGUGGCAAGCGUUGUCCGGAAUUAUUGGGCGUAAAGAGCUCGCAGGCGGUUUCUUAAGUCUGAUGUGAAAGCCCCCGGCUCAACCGGGGAGGGUCAUUGGAAACUGGGAAACUUGAGUGCAGAAGAGGAGAGUGGAAUUCCACGUGUAGCGGUGAAAUGCGUAGAGAUGUGGAGGAACACCAGUGGCGAAGGCGACUCUCUGGUCUGUAACUGACGCUGAGGAGCGAAAGCGUGGGGAGCGAACAGGAUUAGAUACCCCGGUAGUCCCUGUCUCUUAUAC